rnacentral:rRNA from 1 species
CCUACGGGAGGCAGCAGUGAGGAAUAUUGGUCAAUGGACGAGAGUCUGAACCAGCCAAGUAGCGUGAAGGAUGACUGCCCUAUGGGUUGUAAACUUCUUUUAUAUGGGAAUAAAACAGGGUAUGCAUACCCUCUUGUAUGUACCAUAUGAAUAAGGAUCGGCUAACUCCGUGCCAGCAGCCGCGGUAAUACGGAGGAUCUGAGCGUUAUCCGGAUUUAUUGGGUUUAAAGGGAGCGUAGGUGAAUUGUUAAGUCAGUUGUGAAAGUUUGCGGCUCAACCGUAAAAUUGCAGUUGAAACUGGCAGUCUUGAGUACAGUAGAGGUGGGCGGAAUUCGUGGUGUAGCGGUGAAAUGCUUAGAUAUCACGAAGAACUCCGAUUGCGAAGGCAGCUCACUGGACUGCAACUGACACUGAUGCUCGAAAGUGUGGGUAGCAAACAGGAUUAGAUACCCUAGUAGUC